rnacentral:hammerhead_ribozyme from 1 species
GUACUGAUGAAAAGUGCCAAACUAGGACGAAACAGCUGUCCAGUAC